GCAAAACGCGAAGAACCUUACCCACCUUUGACAUGGCAGGAACUUACCAGAGAUGGUUUGGUGCUCGAAAGAGAACCUGCACACAGGUGCUGCAUGGCUGUCGUCAGCUCGUGUCGUGAGAUGUUGGGUUAAGUCCCGCAACGAGCGCAACCCUUGCCAUUAGUUGCUACAUUCAGUUGAGCACUCUAAUGGGACUGCCGGUGACAAACCGGAGGAAGGUGGGGAUGACGUCAAGUCCUCAUGGCCCUUAUAGGUGGGGCUACACACGUCAUACAAUGGCUGGUACAAAGGGUUGCCAACCCGCGAGGGGGAGCUAAUCCCAUAAAGCCAGUCGUAGUCCGGAUCGCAGUCUGCAACUCGACUGCGUGAAGUCGGAAUCGCUAGUAAUCGUGGAUCAGAAUGUCACGGUGAAUACGUUCCCGGGUCUUGUACACACCG
rnacentral:rRNA from 1 species